UGUGUAGGCGGUUUUCUAAGUUCGGUGUGAAAUCUCCCGGCUUAACUGGGAGGGUGCGCCGAAAACUGGAAGGCUUGAGUAUGGGAGAGGAAAGCGGAAUUCCUGGUGUAGCGGUGAAAUGCGUAGAUAUCAGGAGGAACACCUGCGGUGUAGACAGCUUUCUGGACCAUCACUGACGCUGAGACACGAAAGCGUGGGUAGCAAACAGGAUUAGAUACUCUGGUAGUCCACGCCCUAAACGAUGCAUACUUGGUGUGAGCCGUUCAUUCGGUUCGUGCCGGAGCUAACGCGUUAAGUAUGCCGCCUGGGGAGUACGGUCGCAAGGCUAGAA
rnacentral:rRNA from 1 species